GUGCUUGCUUUGGCAGGACACACACUAAAAUUGGAAUGAUCCAGAGAAGAUUAGCAUGGCCCUUGCACAAGGAUGACACACAAAUACUACGUUUGUGAAACUUACUC